rnacentral:tRNA from 1 species
GGGCCGCUGGUCUAGUGGUAUGAUUCUCGCUUAGGGCUUUUGCGAGAGGUCCCGGGUUCGAUCCCCGGGUGGCCCC